rnacentral:rRNA from 1 species
CCUACGGGAGGCUGCAGUGAGGAAUAUUGGUCAAUGGCCGUAAGGCUGAACCAGCCAAGUCGCGUGAAGGAAGAAGGAUCUAUGGUUUGUAAACUUCUUUUAUAGGGGAAUAAAGGUAUCCACGUGUGGAUAUUUGCAUGUACCCUAUGAAUAAGCAUCGGCUAACUCCGUGCCAGCAGCCGCGGUAAUACGGAGGAUGCGAGCGUUAUCCGGAUUUAUUGGGUUUAAAGGGUGCGCAGGCGGCGUGUCAAGUCAGCGGUAAAAUGUCGGGGCUCAACCCCGGCCGGCCGUUGAAACUGGCGGGCUCGAGUUGGAGAGAAGUAUGCGGAAUUCGUGGUGUAGCGGUGAAAUGCAUAGAUAUCACGAAGAACCCCGAUUGCGAAGGCAGCAUACCGGCUCCACACUGACGCUGAGGCACGAAAGCGUGGGUAUCGAACAGGAUUAGAUACCCUUGUAGUC